CACUAUCGUUAACUGAAUACAUAGGUUAACGAGGCGAACCGGGGGAACUGAAACAUCUAAGUACCCCGAGGAAAAGAAAUCAACCGAGAUUCCCCCAGUAGCGGCGAGCGAACGGGGAGCAGCCCAGAGUCUGAAUCAGCUUGUGUGUUAGUGGAACGGUCUGGAAAGUCCGACGGUACAGGGUGAUAGUCCCGUACACCAAAAUGCACAGGCUGUGAACUCGAAGAGUAGGGCGGGACACGUGGUAUCCUGUCUGAAUAUGGGGGGACCAUCCUCCAAGGCUAAAUACUCCUGACUGACCGAUAGUGAACCAGUACCGUGAGGGAAAGGCGAAAAGAACCCCGGCGAGGGGAGUGAAAAAGAACCUGAAACCGUGUACGUACAAGCAGUGGGAGCACCUUCGGGUGUGACUGCGUACCUUUUGUAUAAUGGGUCAGCGACUUAUAUUCUGUAGCAAGGUUAACCGUAUAGGGGAGCCGCAGGGAAACCGAGUCUUAACUGGGCGUUAAGUUGCAGGGUAUAGACCCGAAACCCGGUGAUCUAGCCAUGGGCAGGUUGAAGGUUGGGUAACACUAACUGGAGGACCGAACCGACUAAUGUUGAAAAAUUAGCGGAUGACUUGUGGCUGGGGGUGAAAGGCCAAUCAAACCGGGAGAUAGCUGGUUCUCCCCGAAAGCUAUUUAGGUAGCGCCUCGUGAACUCAUCUUCGGGGGUAGAGCACUGUUUCGGCUAGGGGGUCAUCCCGACUUACCAACCCGAUGCAAACUACGAAUACCGAAGAAUGUUAUCACGGGAGACACACGGCGGGUGCUAACGUCCGUCGUGAAGAGGGAAACAACCCAGACCGCCAGCUAAGGUCCCAAAGUCAUGGUUAAGUGGGAAACGAUGUGGGAAGGCACAGACAGCCAGGAUGUUGGCUUAGAAGCAGCCAUCAUUUAAAGAAAGCGUAAUAGCUCACUGGUCGAGUCGGCCUGCGCGGAAGAUGUAACGGGGCUAAACCAUGCACCGAAGCUGCGGCAGCGACACUAUGUGUUGUUGGGUAGGGGAGCGUUCUGUAAGCCUGCGAAGGUGUGCUGUGAGGCAUGCUGGAGGUAUCAGAAGUGCGAAUGCUGACAUAAGUAACGAUAAAGCGGGUGAAAAGCCCGCUCGCCGGAAGACCAAGGGUUCCUGUCCAACGUUAAUCGGGGCAGGGUGAGUCGACCCCUAAGGCGAGGCCGAAAGGCGUAGUCGAUGGGAAACAGGUUAAUAUUCCUGUACUUGGUGUUACUGCGAAGGGGGGACGGAGAAGGCUAUGUUAGCCGGGCGACGGUUGUCCCGGUUUAAGCAUGUAGGCUGGUUAUCCAGGCAAAUCCGGAUAAUCAAGGCUGAGGUGUGAUGACGAGGCACUACGGUGCUGAAGUAACAAAUGCCCUGCUUCCAGGAAAAGCCUCUAAGCAUCAGGUAACAUCAAAUCGUACCCCAAACCGACACAGGUGGUCAGGUAGAGAAUACCAAGGCGCUUGAGAGAACUCGGGUGAAGGAACUAGGCAAAAUGGUGCCGUAACUUCGGGAGAAGGCACGCUGGUGUGUAGGUGAAGUCCCUGCGGAUGGAGCUGAGACCAGUCGAAGAUACCAGCUGGCUGCAACUGUUUAUUAAAAACACAGCACUGUGCAAACACGAAAGUGGACGUAUACGGUGUGACGCCUGCCCGGUGCCGGAAGGUUAAUUGAUGGGGUUAUCCGUAAGGAGAAGCUCUUGAUCGAAGCCCCGGUAAACGGCGGCCGUAACUAUAACGGUCCUAAGGUAGCGAAAUUCCUUGUCGGGUAAGUUCCGACCUGCACGAAUGGCGUAAUGAUGGCCAGGCUGUCUCCACCCGAGACUCAGUGAAAUUGAACUCGCUGUGAAGAUGCAGUGUACCCGCGGCAAGACGGAAAGACCCCGUGAACCUUUACUAUAGCUUGACACUGAACAUUGAGCCUUGAUGUGUAGGAUAGGUGGGAGGCUUUGAAGCGUGGACGCCAGUCUGCGUGGAGCCAACCUUGAAAUACCACCCUUUAAUGUUUGAUGUUCUAACGUUGGCCCCUUACCGGGGUUGCGGACAGUGUCUGGUGGGUAGUUUGACUGGGGCGGUCUCCUCCCAAAGCGUAACGGAGGAGCACGAAGGUUAGCUAAUCCUGGUCGGACAUCAGGAGGUUAGUGCAAUGGCAUAAGCUAGCUUGACUGCGAGCGUGACGGCGCGAGCAGGUGCGAAAGCAGGUCAUAGUGAUCCGGUGGUUCUGAAUGGAAGGGCCAUCGCUCAACGGAUAAAAGGUACUCCGGGGAUAACAGGCUGAUACCGCCCAAGAGUUCAUAUCGACGGCGGUGUUUGGCACCUCGAUGUCGGCUCAUCACAUCCUGGGGCUGAAGUAGGUCCCAAGGGUAUGGCUGUUCGCCAUUUAAAGUGGUACGCGAGCUGGGUUUAGAACGUCGUGAGACAGUUCGGUCCCUAUCUGCCGUGGGCGCUGGAGAAUUGAGGGGGGCUGCUCCUAGUACGAGAGGACCGGAGUGGACGCAUCACUGGUGUUCGGGUUGUCAUGCCAAUGGCACUGCCCGGUAGCUAAAUGCGGAAGAGAUAAGUGCUGAAAGCAUCUAAGCACGAAACUUGCCCCGAGAUGAGUUCUCCCUGAGACUUUAAGUCUCCUGAAGGAACGUUGAAGACGACGACGUUGAUAGGCCGGGUGUGUAAGCGCAGCGAUGCGUUGAGCUAACCGGUACUAAUGAACCGUGAGGCUUAACCUU
rnacentral:rRNA from 1 species